rnacentral:miRNA from 1 species
UACACAUGGUUGGGAACCACCAUGUGGUUGCUGGGACUUGAACUCAGGACCGCUGGAAGAACAGUCAGUGCUCUUCUGAGUU